GGGUUGUGAGGUUAAGCGACUAAGCGUACACGGUGGAUGCCCUGGCAGUCAGAGGCGAUGAAGGACGUGCUAAUCUGCGAUAAGCGUCGGUAAGGUGAUAUGAACCGUUAUAACCGGCGAUUUCCGAAUGGGGAAACCCAGUGUGUUUCGACACACUAUCAUUAACUGAAUCCAUAGGUUAAUGAGGCGAACCGGGGGAACUGAAACAUCUAAGUACCCCGAGGAAAAGAAAUCAACCGAGAUUCCCCCAGUAGCGGCGAGCGAACGGGGAGGAGCCCAGAGCCUGAAUCAGUGUGUGUGUUAGUGGAAGCGUCUGGAAAGGCGCGCGAUACAGGGUGACAGCCCCGUACACAAAAAUGCACAUGCUGUGAGCUCGAUGAGUAGGGCGGGACACGUGGUAUCCUGUCUGAAUAUGGGGGGACCAUCCUCCAAGGCUAAAUACUCCUGACUGACCGAUAGUGAACCAGUACCGUGAGGGAAAGGCGAAAAGAACCCCGGCGAGGGGAGUGAAAAAGAACCUGAAACCGUGUACGUACAAGCAGUGGGAGCACGCUUAGGCGUGUGACUGCGUACCUUUUGUAUAAUGGGUCAGCGACUUAUAUUCUGUAGCAAGGUUAACCGAAUAGGGGAGCCGAAGGGAAACCGAGUCUUAACUGGGCGUUAAGUUGCAGGGUAUAGACCCGAAACCCGGUGAUCUAGCCAUGGGCAGGUUGAAGGUUGGGUAACACUAACUGGAGGACCGAACCGACUAAUGUUGAAAAAUUAGCGGAUGACUUGUGGCUGGGGGUGAAAGGCCAAUCAAACCGGGAGAUAGCUGGUUCUCCCCGAAAGCUAUUUAGGUAGCGCCUCGUGAAUUCAUCUCCGGGGGUAGAGCACUGUUUCGGCAAGGGGGUCAUCCCGACUUACCAACCCGAUGCAAACUGCGAAUACCGGAGAAUGUUAUCACGGGAGACACACGGCGGGUGCUAACGUCCGUCGUGAAGAGGGAAACAACCCAGACCGCCAGCUAAGGUCCCAAAGUCAUGGUUAAGUGGGAAACGAUGUGGGAAGGCCCAGACAGCCAGGAUGUUGGCUUAGAAGCAGCCAUCAUUUAAAGAAAGCGUAAUAGCUCACUGGUCGAGUCGGCCUGCGCGGAAGAUGUAACGGGGCUAAACCAUGCACCGAAGCUGCGGCAGCGACGCUUAUGCGUUGUUGGGUAGGGGAGCGUUCUGUAAGCCUGUGAAGGUGUGCUGUGAGGCAUGCUGGAGGUAUCAGAAGUGCGAAUGCUGACAUAAGUAACGAUAAAGCGGGUGAAAAGCCCGCUCGCCGGAAGACCAAGGGUUCCUGUCCAACGUUAAUCGGGGCAGGGUGAGUCGACCCCUAAGGCGAGGCCGAAAGGCGUAGUCGAUGGGAAACAGGUUAAUAUUCCUGUACUUGGUGUUACUGCGAAGGGGGGACGGAGAAGGCUAUGUUGGCCGGGCGACGGUUGUCCCGGUUUAAGCGUGUAGGCUGGUUUUCCAGGCAAAUCCGGAAAAUCAAGGCUGAGGCGUGAUGACGAGGCACUACGGUGCUGAAGCAACAAAUGCCCUGCUUCCAGGAAAAGCCUCUAAGCAUCAGGUAACAUCAAAUCGUACCCCAAACCGACACAGGUGGUCAGGUAGAGAAUACCAAGGCGCUUGAGAGAACUCGGGUGAAGGAACUAGGCAAAAUGGUGCCGUAACUUCGGGAGAAGGCACGCUGAUAUGUAGGUGAAGUCCCUCGCGGAUGGAGCUGAAAUCAGUCGAAGAUACCAGCUGGCUGCAACUGUUUAUUAAAAACACAGCACUGUGCAAACACGAAAGUGGACGUAUACGGUGUGACGCCUGCCCGGUGCCGGAAGGUUAAUUGAUG
rnacentral:rRNA from 1 species